UUCCUCUUUAGUUCAGAUGUGUAUCUGGCUCUUCUCAGGCAGCACUUGCUAUGGAGAUGGACAGCUAUGAAUCAGAUCAUGAUUAUGAAAACGUGGACAUCAAGCAGCCGCCAAGCAGUAGAGCAGGAGCGCAACAUGGGGAAUCGGCAGCACCUGUGGAUUCUUCUGAUAGACCAGCAGCUUCCUGUGGAUGGGCUGUGUGGCUUCUUAUAGCUCUGAGCUGCCUGCUGCUGGCAGCCAGUUUAGCCCUGGGGGUGCUCUAUUUCAGGCUCAGUGAAAGUCAUUCAGGGCUGCUGGGUGAGAGUAGCAGGCUCAGUGAAAGUCAUUCAGGGCUGCUGGGUGGCUAUAGCAGGCUCAAUGACACGCUCUCUGAACUGCAGAGAAACUACAGCAGGCUCUCUGAAUAUCAUUCACAACUGCAGAGAAACUACGGCAGGGUCCAAGAUGAAAAUUCAGACAUGAAAAAGAAGAAUGCUGCUGUUUGUGUCAAAUCCUCAACCUUGGAUUUACAAUGUCCUCUCAAAGAAGGCUCUUCAAAAGAGCGGGUUUGUAAAGCCUGUCCAGUGAACUGGGUGGAGUCCAAUGGAAAGUGCUACUACUUCUCAACUGAUAAAAUGGACUGGCACUCCAGCCGGGCUAGCUGUGUGUCAAUGGGAGCAGACCUGGUGAUUAUAGAGAGCGAGGAGGAGCAGAGAUUCUUAUUAGAGAAUAUUAAAAGGGAACACCCAUUGGAGCAUUCUAAAAGCGAUGACUACUGGAUUGGCCUGACGGACGCUGUUACUGAAGGAGUCUGGCUCUGGGUGGACGGCACUCCUCUCAAUGACAAGGCAAAAUUCUGGUACGGGAAUGAGCCUGAUGACUGGAAGGGAGGUGUGGACUCGUCUGGGGAGGACUGUGCACAUCUUGCAUACUGGGGAGAUCCCCUAAAGGACUGGCUUGAUGGGUCAUGCUCAAUGAUACAAUAUACUAGGAUCUGUGAAACCAUGGCAGUGAUAAUCCAUAUAUAAAACCAAUACCCCACCCCGCCUGUGAGUGCUGCUGGCAAAGCCUCUUCAUAUAGACAGCCUGCACUGGUCCUCCUCAUCCUGUGCUGUCUCUUACUGGCUGCCAUCAUCUCCCUCGCUGUCUAUCAUUUCAAAACUAAAGAAGACCUUGAGAAAAACACCAGCCUGUCCACAAAUUAUUCAUCAUUACUGAAUCAGCUCCAGGACCUGGGGGAGUGACUACAGCAACUUCAACAAGAAUCAUUCUGAUUUGCAGAGUAACUAUAGCAGGCUCAGUGAAACUCAUUCUGUGCUGCAGAGUAACUAUAGUAGACUCCAAAAAGAAAAUUCAGAAUUAAAAAAGAAUACUGAGCUUUCUGUGAAAUCACUCUUGAAUAAAUACUGUCCUCUCAAAGAAGGCUCCUCAAAGGGUGAGUUGUGAAUUCUAUACAAUCCCAUCAUC